rnacentral:lncRNA from 1 species
UUUUUUUUUGUUGGUUAAAAACCAGCAUGUCAUCAUCCUAAAAAAAUAUGAAGUUAAUUAAAACUUUGAACUAAAAAAAUUAAUAUAUAUAUUAUAUUAAUGAAAAAUUACAAAAAUAUACAUAAAUUAUAAAAUAUAUAAUAAAAAGUUAUAUAAUAUAUAAUAAAAAGUUAUAUAAUAUAAAUAUAAAAUAAAAUAAAAAUAAACGAAUCGAACGUUCGUCGAACUUCAACCAAGGUUUAGGUUCGGUUCGUUUAAUUAAACGAAUUUAUUUUAAGAUUCGAAUUCGAAUCGAAUAGUUCGUCAAAUACCGAAUUUUUUUUGCAUCCCUAUCAAUAUCCACACUACUAAAAAAACAGAAAUCUAAAAGCUCGUGAUGAAAAUGAUAAACCAGGGUAUGAUCAGACGUAGUAAUUUGUAAGUAUUAAUCAUAUUCAGAUUCAAAUCCUGGGGUAUCUGAACCACAACAUCUGACCGGACAGUCGAACCGGACCUACGCACGAUUGUAGAACAAUUGAAGGAAGAUUUAGGCUUGGAUAAGGAGAACACCGGUGAAGCAGCAUCUACCGAGUCUGUCACCGGUGAUGGGCCAACGAGUAGUAGGCCCGUUAGAAGGAAGCGAGAGAAUAAAGAUACUAAUUACAUUUACUAUUAAUUGAUAUUUGUUAAUCAGUUUGUUAAACACUAUUGUAACCAACGCCCAAUCAGUUUAAAUACAAUGGACAUUCAUUAAGGUAAUCAUCCAAUUUUCGUACAAUUAAUCCAACCUUCUCUUUCUGGCUCCAACUGGAGAAUUCUUUUCCAACUCCAAGUUCCCCCUCGUAGAGAGUUAUCCGCUACCAUUCGACGAUCGUCGGUCCUCCUUGUUACAAAAACAUGUCUGAUCUUUUCAUUAUAUAAAUACGACGCACUUCAGACGCGUUGCGCUCUAUGAAAAUGUGUCAAAUUAGUGUAAGUUGUUGGAUUUUAUUGGGUUAAAGUCGACCGUUCAUACAGAAUUUUAUAUGAAUAUAAAUAAAGAAUACGAAAUGAAAGGUAGUUAGUUGGUUGGUUUAUUAAUUAAAUUGUACAACAAACAAUAUCUAGAUAUUGUUGUAUUGUACAAGUAAAAUAUUCUCAAUCGUCUUUCCGAUCCCCUUCCCCAAUGGCCUAUACAAUUCAUGACCUUGACCAUGGUACCAACACACAUCUUCCUCUCUAUUUAAAUAUUGAAGAACAAUCCUGAUUUUUUAAAUGAUAUUCGAUAGUAUUAAGAUGACAAGAUUUAGAGGAUAUGGUGACAAUCCUGAGAAAGAAAGAUCUUAACUAGAAGAAGAUAUGAGGAAUAGAAAUACUACUUAAGUUUAAUUAUCCAUUAAUGAUUAGUUUGUUAGUUAAUUAAUUAGUUAAGAUAGGUGUUUAGCCAUCGUAGUCAAGUUACUAAAUUAGGACCUAGGAAGCUAGCUAGGACAGGUAACCCGAAGACGAUAAUAAAUCAUGAUAAAAGAAGCUUAAUUGUGAAUUUAGGAUGGUAUUUGUGAACUCUCUAGACCCAAAUAUUCAAUAUUAAAAAAAAAAACAAAUGAUAUUUUGAUAUACGAAUUAAAUAUUCAAUAUUCCCAAACCACAGCAACCACAAUAUUCAAUAUUCCCAAUAAGUAAGGUAUAAUUACGUAAUAAACAAUAUAAUUAAUUAAUAAUGAUUAAUAGUAAUUAAUAAAAGAAGGAAACUGAAGCUCAAAAAUUGAAAAAUGAAUGACGAGAUAUAUAUAUGUAGUAUACGAAAAUCAAUGACCGAGAAUGUUAAACUCUAUAUCAUCAUCAUCUCCAUGAAGAAAUCCAUUGGUGCUGGCACUCUCCGAAGUUGGGGCUGUGUCAGGAGUUGGGGUUGCACCAAUCGGCUUGGAUUCUUCCUCUUGGUUUUCUUGAUCAUGCAUCUUGUUUGCAUCCACAGGUGGCGAAUCAACAAUCUCCUCUGCUCCGACAUGUGCCACAACUAUAAGCAUGAUGAAACAUGCUACAAUAGUCAUCAACCUAAGGGAUGAACGUGGACGAGCCAUGGAGGUGUCUGUAUACGUUUGUUUUCCCCCCGUCUGUUUGGUUUUGUUUGGUUUGGUAUGGCUUGGAUUGUUGGGAAUUAAGACAGCAAUUUAUCAUAUAAAUAGUUUUUCUCUCUCGUUCGUUUGUGCUUGUCCAUUCAAUUAAUGGAGUGGGUUGGUUCAAGAUUCUCGGUUCCCACCAUUUUGUUGUUUUAGGAAAUUUGAAUUCAAAAAAUAGAACUGGGAUUUAAUGGAUCAAAAAAAAUUGGGUCAGUUUUUUAUUUACCUGUUUUCAUUCUCUUCUAUUUUCUGCUGAAGAAUCAAAAUCUGCAAUCUGCAUGGCGGAUUGUACUACAUCCUUGUAGCAUUUCCAUGUGUGGUCGUUGCAAUCAUCGUAGCUGCUAAACAUAUCUACAGACAUCUCUUGAAUUACACUGAACCAACCUACCAACGUUACAUUGUUCGCAUCAUCUUCAUGAUUCCUGUCAGUCUGAUUUUUUUCAUACUCAAUAAUAUGAUAUCAAAUCAUCAUCCCAACUUCUCAGUUCUCACCAUAAUAUAUAUAUAUAUAUAUAUAUAUAUGAAUGUAUGUAGAUAUUUGCAACAACAUCUUUCCUAUCUCUGGUGCUCAUUGAAAAAUCCAUCUACUUCAAUUCCAUUCGAGACAUGUAAGUCUUCUUUCAAUCUAUUUUUCUGUUAAAAUUAAUCAUAUCUAUCCAUUUUCAUUGUUAAUUGAUUGGAGGUAUGAAGCUUGGGUCAUAUACAACUUUCUUUCGCUUUGCUUGGCUUGGGUUGGAGGUCCCGGUUCUGUUGUUCUAAGCUUGACCGGUCGAUCGCUCAAACCUUCUUAUUGUCUUUCGACAUGCUGUUUUCCACCCAUACCUCUUGACGGCCGUUUCAUACGGAUGUGCAAACAAUGGACGUUGCAAUUUGUCAUUCUAAAACCCUUUCUGGUGGUUGUCACAUUCAUUCUCUACUCCAAAGGAAAGUACAGGGAUGGAGAUUUCAGUCCUCAACAACCUUACCUCUAUUUCACAAUCACCUACACGAUCUCCUAUUCCAUGGCUCUUUACGGACUCGCUCUCUUCUACGUUGCAUGCAAACACCUUCUUCAGUCAUUCAAUCCAAUCCCUAAGUUCAUUCUCAUCAAAUCUGUCAUUUUCUUGACUUACUGGCAGGUUAGCUACACACAUCUCCAGGGAUUUAUUGAAUUGCAUCCAAAAUUCAUUCAUCCAUUCAUAAUUCAAUAUUCCUUCUCUCAGGGUGUGCUGGUUUUCCUAAUUGCAAAGUCAAGUCACAUAAAGGAUGCUAAGGAAGCCGCUGAGUUUCAGAAUUUCAUCCUAUGUAUUGAGAUGAUGGUUGCAGCCAUUGGCCACCUUUAUGCAUUUCCUUACAAAGAGUAUCAAGGUGCUAACAUUACUGCAUCUAGUGACUUACCAGGAAGCCUUGCCCAUGCCGUGAAAGUCAACGAUUUCUACGAUGACACGGUACAUCAGGUGUGUCAUCAGGUCUACUAAAUUUGUGAACUAUGAGUUAUGACCAACCAAUCAUGUGGUGUCCAUUGCGCUAAUUCUAACCAUAGAUACUUCUGUAUAUGGUUGCAUAAUGCAGUUUGCUCCAACCUACCACGAUUACAUUCUCUAUAACAGCACCAAUGAAUCCAACGAUAACAGUGAUCAAGGAGAAGCAGCAUCAACCAAGUACAGAUCACGAACAUUUGUUCCAACUGGACAGGAAAUGGAUGCAGUGAGAAAAAACAAGCAUAUUUUGAGCACACCAUCCUCCCCCUCAUCGCCAUCCAAUGUUAAUGGAAGACCAAAUCAAAAUCAGAUGGUUGAUUCAUCAGAGAGUCCUACGGCGACUACAAUGAAAUCUUCAUUUCUAAAAGAUGCAUCAACAGAGUCAUCGCGGUCAUAUGAUCUCUCUCUGGUUAACACAGAUGUGAAUCCAACCAAAUUUUCAGCAGUACUAGACGAGUCAAGCAAACGAUGAUAUCAUAUGAUUGAUUUUAUGAAUCUCUAGGAAAGCAUGUAGAACCACUAUACUCGUCUUGGUUUUUAUUUUUUAGGUGGCAAAAAGGAUGGAUAAUGAAUCUAGAUUCUAGACAUCUAGUAAUAUUCUAGCUAGAGGUCCCACGUAUGCGAUGUUUGUCUACGUCUACAAAGAAAGUAAUGGGAUUCAUUUCCAGAACCCACCCAGAGACAAUGAUGUAAGAAAAUGAAUAUAAAAUUUUCAGUGCAGGUAGUUCAAGCCUCAUCAACAUGACUUUCAUCAAAAUAAAGAGUAAAAAGGAGUUUUUAGAGUUUUAUCAUAGACUUAAUUAGCAUACUUUGUUGUAAAUCUUAAUGUGCUAGCUUAGAUAGUAGCUAGUCUUGAAAGGCUAAGUAGAGCAAAACACAGUUGUUAUUUUCAGAGUGGCAGGAAAUGGAGGUUACCUGAAUGAAUUUAGUAACCUCCCUGUAUGAAGGCACUGAGCCGAUCCAGCUCCUCCCGGUGCUCAAUCACCACGGCACGAACAACAUCACCGAUUGAAAGCAUGCCAAGCAUUCCCUUGACAUCAUCGAUCACUGGGAUGUGCCGAAUACGAUUAU